UCCAUCUCUCUCCCUCUUCCCACGCUUCCUGCCCGGCUCUUUUCCUUCCCCGCGCCGUGGGUCCCCCUCAGCAUCGCCCCGAGAGUGGGACCCGCUGCUUUCCCCGCUCCUGUCCUCGCUCCCCCUCGCCCUCUCGGCCAGGAAAAUCCCAAACACGCCGAGCCGCCCUUAUCUGGGCCCACGCGGGGACCUGGCCGCGGAGCCGCGGGGAGAUUGGAGGUUGCCAUGGGGAACGCGGCUGCCAUCGGGGCGGUGGCUCCCUGCCUGAGCCUGAUAAGCUGUCCCCGCGUCCCCAGAGCUCGGGGAGGGGCGGGGGGGGACCGUGACCGAGCUGCUUGCGCAGCCCUCGCCGGUUUUGUGGCGUCUCUCCGCACCCCCGGCUCGGGUUUGUUUUCCUUCCCGGCCGGCCCCGCACCCACCCUCCCGCCGCUGCCGUUCUCCGCCAUCGCAUCCAUCUGCUCGCUGUCACCGCGUCCCCGCCGGGGUCCCGAGGCGCGGGGCAAGGCUGGCUCCGGCCCUGGAAAGUAGGGAAGAUCGGAGCCCCAGCGCGGUGGCGGAGCCCAGGGGGAUGUGGAGGCACAGAGGACCCUGUGACUGACACAGCCCCGCCAGGCGCAGCUGAAUGGAAAGACUGCAGAAGCAGCCACUGACCUCCCCUGGGAGCGUCUGUUCUUCCCGCGGAUCCAGCGUUCCCGGAUCUCCCUCCAGCAUCGUGGCCAAAAUGGACAACGAGGUCCUGGGCUACAAGGACCUGGCUGCCAUCCCCAAGGACAAAGCGAUCCUGGACAUCGAACGCCCCGACCUGAUGAUCUACGAACCUCAUUUCACCUACUCGCUCAUGGAGCACGUGGAGCUGCCCCGGAGCCGGGAGCGCUCCCUGUCUCCCAAAUCCAUGUCUCCUCCUCCGUCUCCGGAGGUUAUCCGGGAGUGGCUGGAGAGCCGCCCCCCCAGCAGCACCCCGCUGCCCCCCUCGCGCCAGGGCACCGCCCCAACCCGCAGCAGCGUCCAGCACUUCCACCGACCCGAGACCGACACGACAGAGCUCAACAUUUACAAGAAGCCCCCGAUCUACCGGCAGAAAGACCACCAUUCCAGUGCCCACCACGGCAAGCACCUCAUAGAGGAUUUGAUCAUCGAAUCCUCCAAAUUCCCGGCGGCGCAGCCCCCGGAUCCCAACCAGCCCGCCAAGAUCGAGACCGACUACUGGCCCUGCCCGCCCUCGCUGGCCGUCGUGGAGACGGAGUGGAGGAGGCGGAUGGCAUCCAAGAGAGGCGAGGAGGAGGAUGAGGAUCUGACGGAGGAGAUGAAGAACCUGCGGGAGCUCCAGCGGCAGGAGCUGAGCAAGGUCACCUCCAACCUCGGGAAGCUGAUCCUGAAGGAGGAGAUGGAGAAGUCUCUCCCGAUCCGCAGGAAAACUCGCUCGCUGCCAGACCGGACACCUUUUCACACGUCCCUCCACACGAGCUCCAAGAGCUCCUCCCUCCCCGCCUCCGGCCGGAGCACCCUCACCCGGCUGCAGUCGGCGGAGUUCGGCUCGGCAGGGAGCGAGAAGAGCAGUCCUGCCCUGCAGGUAAGAGCUCACCUGGCUGCGGACGCCGCGACCCAGCGAGAGGAACGGCCAGCGCGGGCGCAUGGACAGAGGGAACUCCCUGCCCAGCAUGUUGGAGCAGAAGAUCUACCCCUAUGAGAUGCUGAUGGUGACGAACCGAGGCCGAGUGAAGCUCCCGCCCGGCGUGGACAGGACCAGGCUGGAGCGACACCUGUCCCCCGAGGACUUCCUGAAGGUGUUCGAGAUGUCUCCGGAGGAGUUCAGCAAGCUGGCCCUGUGGAAGCGCAACGAGCUGAAGAAGAAAGCCUUCCUCUUCUGAGCUCUCCUCGGCCCCAGCUCAGUCCGUGUCGCGCCGUGUA